AUCCGUCUAAGUCCAACUUGUACGAACCAAUGUUUGCUACAAUCGCGGGGUAUAUACCCAAAUUUUCAUGCAGUCAUGCUUAGAUAGCUCGAAGUAUGGGAGGAACCUGAACAUACCAUUGUUGCGAGCUGGGAAACAUUUUACGGAAUGAUUCAAUCAAUGCAGGGAAGGGGCAUGACAAACGACACAUCACAAUCCGUUUCAUCAUCGUCGCCGUCGCCGUCGUCAUCAUCGUCCUCUUCAUUCCUCUUCCUCCACACUGAACUUUGGCAUGUCUAAGACUUUGGGCGAGGGUUCUCCAUUUAUAAAGGGAAACGUUCUGGGACGGGGCACCGGCCGAGUCGCGCGCCGGUCUCACGGGUGCUCGCCACGUGGCAGACUUGGCCCACCAGCCACCGCUCCUCUAUCCCUCAUCCUUUCCUUAUCUCUACAGGAAACACUCUCAGCCAUUUAUUCUUUCCACCACGCAUCGAAUCCCCAUCCCCUUCUCUCUCCUUUUUAGCCUUCUCCGAUGAACUCCACUCGGCCAGCCACCACCACGGGUCAGGGAGGGGGGCGGGGGUGCCAGCAGCCACCAUUUUUUCCAAGCGACGUUGCAAAGGGAGGCCAUGGACUGCUUGCAAAGCCAGGAAAGCCAUGGCCAUCAAUCUCCUCAUCCUCCCCCUCGAUGAGGUCGGACGCCUGUAUCCCGCGAGGCUGGAGAUGGCGCCCACCAUGAGGAGUGGACGGAGGUGCUGGAACCGCCCAGCAGAGGUGCUACGACGGCAUGACGGAGAUGCUACCUCCGUUGCCGGUGAAGAUGCAUCCGUCGACGGCGGCGCUGUGACGACAUGGCGGAGGUGUUGGAACCGGCUGGUAGAGGUGUUGCAUCCGUUGUCGGGGAAGCUGCAUCCCCUGUCGUCAGUGUUGGGUGAGGUGCUGGAACCGCUCGACGGAGGUGUUACAUCCAUGGCUGGUAAAGCUACAUCCACGGCUGGCAAAGCUGCAUCCAUCGCCCAAUUUCGCAUUUUUGUUACUACCGUUUAUUUUUUUGCUGGAACCAUCACAAGUUUUUGCUACCAUCGAUUUUUUGGGUUUGCUUGAACCAGCCCCCAAUUUUGUAAUUUUUGCUACCACCGAUAUUUUAGUUCGCUGGAGCGAGCUUCAUUUUUUUGCUACCACCGGCAUUUUUUGAUUUGCUGGAACAAAGUCCAAUUCGCAUUAUUUGCUACCACUGUAUUUUUUAUUUGCUGGAACCAGUGCCAUUUUUUGCUACAACCGUCUUUUUGGAUGUGAACCAUGGCAUCGCGGUCAUUGAAUCUGCAGGGAGGCAGGCGGGGGGCAGCACCGACGAGGGGUGAGCGGUGACUGUCGACGGCGGGACAUGGCGAGCUUGGAGGCCGGUCGUCCUGCUCGUGGUAAUCGGUGCAGGGUCGCUCGGGGGUAAUCAACGCGGGCCUGGGGCGGCCGUGUCGCUCGGGAAAAAGAGGAAGGCGAGGGACGGGGAAGAAAAGGACGAGGAAGCCAGAUCAAACUGUUAUGCUGUGCUGCAUCGGGCGGCUGGGGCGUUACCGGCCCAACUAUUGGGCCGGCGUGCCGGCGCCUAGUAGUCGCCAUUUAUAAACGCUAAUGACCUAUGGAAUAAUCUAUAUAUGGGUAUUUGCUAGAACGUGUUGCCAAUAACGUUGGUUGACUAGCUGGCUAAAGUUUCAAAUAGUACACUUAACUUCCGGGCUACAGUUGGUCUCUGUGCCAAUAAGUUAAUUAAGUCCAUGAGUGCUAGGAACAAGUAGAGAAGAAAAUGCCCUUAUUCCAAAGGAAGUAAUGCCAAAGAAAAAAUAGAAUAAAGAACUAAAGAAUGAAAUGACACGGUAUCCGAUGACUAAAGUCCAGAUGAUUUCUCCGCUAGGUUAUUG
rnacentral:lncRNA from 1 species